AGAUUGAACGCUGGCGGCAUGCCUUACACAUGCAAGUCGAACGGCAGCACGGGAGCAAUCCUGGUGGCGAGUGGCGAACGGGUGAGUAAUAUCUCGGAACGUGCCCAGUAAUGGGGGAUAGCCCGGCGAAAGCCGGAUUAAUACCGCAUACGACCUACGGGUGAAAGCGGGGGAUCGCAAGACCUCGCGUUAUUGGAGCGGCCGAUAUCAGAUUAGCUU
rnacentral:rRNA from 1 species